rnacentral:rRNA from 1 species
UGGGGAAUAUUGGACAAUGGGCGAAAGCCUGAUCCAGCCAUGCCGCGUGUGUGAAGAAGGCCUUAUGGUUGUAAAGCACUUUAAGUGGGGAGGAAAAGCUUAUGGAUAAUACCCAUAGGUUCUGACGUUACCCACAGAAUAAGCACCGGCUAACUCUGUGCCAGCAGCCGCGGUAAUACAGAGGGUGCGAGCGUUAAUCGGAAUUACUGGGCGUAAAGCGAGCGUAGGUGGUUUAUUAAGUCAGAUGUGAAAUCCCUGGGCUUAACCUAGGAACUGCAUCUGAUACUGAUAAACUAGAGUAGGUGAGAGGAAAGUAGAAUUCCAGGUGUAGCGGUGAAAUGCGUAGAUAUCUGGAGGAAUACCGAUGGCGAAGGCAGCUUUCUGGCAUCAUACUGACACUGAGGUUCGAAAGCGUGGGUAGCAAACAGGAUUAGAUACCCUGGUAGUCCACGCCGUAAACGAUGUCUACCAGUCGUUGGGUCUUUUAAAGGCUUAGUGACGCAGUUAACGCGAUAAGUAGACCGCCUGGGGAGUACGGCCGCAAGGUUA